UUCAUUACAAGGGGCCAGAGUUCUGUGGCAGAACCCUUGCUAAGUAACUACUUGGCACUGGGUUGGAUCCCCAGAAAUGAAGGAAAAGAGAGUUCCUGCCAGCUGUCAGAGAUCUCUUUAGCCGUCCAUCUUCCAGCAGCUUUCCAGGACAUUGUGUGUGAUCCAGGAAGAUUGUGGUCAUUCACAAGCCGAGGAGAGAGACCUGGGAAGAGCCAGCUCUACUGACAUUCUGACCUUGGACUUUGUCCUCGGAACUGUCCAGUCAAGGAGCCAGCCUUCCCUUCGCAGAGGUCCCUGGGAGCCGCAGUGCUGGGCUGAGUCUCUCUGCUGCUGCUGACAGUGCUGUGCUGGUUUGGUUACUAGGAGUCUGUAAUGAGUCUUAAAAUCAGGAAUCAU